GCCGCCGCCGCCGCCGAAGUCUCCCGCCCGCAGCACUUUGUUUCCUCCCAGGCGGGGCGGAGGGGCGGGCGGGCGGCGCGCGGCGGGGGCGGGGGCGGGGGUGGCGCGGCCCGAGCGCGGCAGUCACCUCCUGGGCGGGCGCGCGCGGAGCCCCACGUGACCGCCGCCGGCCAAUGGGAAGCCGGCGGGGCGCUCUGGCGGCUCAGGAGCCGGGCCCGUAAAUUCAAACUCAGGCCCUCCGGCAGCCGUUCGCUGGGCGCGCGGCGCGGGGCGUGGUGGAGGGAGGGCCGCGGGCGGCGGGGAGUGGCGCCUGGAACUGCCCGUCGGCUGCCCGGGCUCGGCGCUCGCUGGCCGGGCCUGAGGGGCCGGGCCCGCGGGUGGCGGGAAGGAGCCGGCCCCCCUGAGGUUUCCGGGGCGGGUCCGCGCCGCCGCCCACACCCAGCGGUUCAGGGAAAUUCAAAUGUAAACGUGCUGAACAGCGACCCGCGGAACUCGCGGAGGCCUGGGGGACCCAGGGCGCUGUAACCUCAUCCCCGCCUGGCGGGCCGGGCUCGCGAAGCCGUCCGGAGGCCCCGCUGCUGGGGGCCACGGAAUGGGCGCCUGUGUCCGCGGUGCAGAACCCGCUGCGCGCUCCUCCUCUCAGACUUUCGGUGAAUACCAUCAUGGCCAGACCAAAAGAAGUUACGAAAUGAUUAAGACACAGUCCCUGCCCCACAGAAACCGAGACUGUGCAAGGAAAGGCCGUAUUUCCGAGGAGUAAAUAAGAAGGAAGCCAUUCCAACGUCAUUCUCACCCGGAGGUGAAAGCUGAGUGAAGUGAGAUCUGCAAAAUCAUUCUAUGGGAUAAACUGGUGCUGCCUGGGAUCUGGCCCCAGCCAGAAGUGCUCUUGCUGCCAUUCUGAAACAGUAAAGUGUUUCUCAGCUGUUUUUUCCAUUGUUUCCCCCACUGCAAGGAGCCUUUAGACACUUUCCUAUUCACCCCCACCACCCAUGAAAUUUUAAUACUCACAGAUAUACGAUGUGCUUUUUACAUAACAAGGUUUUUUUCCUUUUGUCCCCAAGAACCAAUUUUGAAGAAUGCAUGAAUUAAACCAAAAAUAACACUUCUGUUCAUCCGCUGCUAAGUACUGGGCACGGUGAUAAGCGCCUCAUGUGUAUCAUCUCAUUUAAUCCUCGCAAUCAUCGCCAUUUCACAGCUGAGGACACUGAGGCUCUGAGAAGUCAAACAACUUAGCCAAAUACCAUACCUAGUAAGCUGCAGACCCGAACUCAAAACAACGAACCCCUUAAUUCCAAAAUCCAUAUUCUUAAAAUUUGAGCUUCCGGGUUUGUAUGUUGUCUGCACACUAACAGGCUACAAUUUACGUCUGUUUUUUCUAAGUAUUAAAACUAACUAUACUUACUUUUUUAUUCAGUUUUCAUUGUUAACAAAGCUUUUUUAAACCUCAAUCCAAUAACUUAUGAUCCAACAACCAGACAAUUUUAUUUUGUAAAAAAGUCAUAUUAAGCACAAUUAAAAAUGAAAACAAUGAAGCUCUUAGUCUUACCAUUAUA